ACGUGAUGAAACUAACCCAACAUUGCUGGAAUUACCGGCAGAUUGAUGGUGGUGAGUGAAGGUUUCCUGAUG
rnacentral:snoRNA from 1 species